UCCGUCUACCUGCCAGCAGGGCUGAUGAGGGCCCUUGGGCUUCCUUCCCCACUCCAUGGUGCACUGCUUAAGAGCUCUUCUUGUACAGACUGACAUAUCUGUUGAGUUCCAGCUUACUUUCCAAAGCUGACCAAGGUUCCAUCUAGUGUCUCCCAUCCACGAUGAUCAUCACAACAGGUCCAGUGAACAUCCCUCAUGAUAUAUGGUUAUUUUUCUUCCAACUUCUAAAAUGAGGUGCAUCAUUUGGUGAAGAGCUUCUUUCCUUUCUGGUGCCAGCAUGGGACAUUUGGCCCGCGUUCGUCAUUCCCACAAUCCUCUUGGCUUUGGGCUGCUGACCUCCCUGUGGCGUGGCGGAUGAGACGCCAUUUUUGUGGUGCCUGCGGGUCCAACUUGCUCCACGUUCCUGUACUGCCUUCGGACCCAGAAAGUUCGAACUGAUUUCGGGCAGAGCUAGUUGAUUGCUGAUAAGAAGACCUUUUCCAAGGAGCUCUGGGCUACCGGUGUGCAGAUCCUCUCUGCACUGCAUUCCAACAUCAGCAGCCUUCUUAUCUGCUCUGGAAAUCCUGAAGCAAUAUUUGUAUUAAAUACACAGUUGAAUUGCACACCAAAUGGGAAGGCAGCUGUAGAGGCCCAGAAUGGAUCUCCAUUUCAUUAAAGGAUCCCUUCUCUUCGUAGAGUGUUGUGAGGGGAGUAUGUAAAAACGUAGACCUUAAGAAAGGUACCUCUAUUCACAGACAGACAUGUGGGUUGAUCACACAGGAUACAGUUGAACCCAAAUUAACCCUCCCAGUACCAGCUCUUUCAUUCUCCUCCUACAACUGCCAUUCAUAUUCGCACCAACACUCUUUAUUUUAAGAGAGCCAACAAAUGCUAUUUGAGGAUGGUUAAUUACUCAAGGACGAACACUAUAAAGAGAAGUUGGAAAAAUAUCUACAGGCAUUGUGGUUUUCAACGUGCUUCCACUUCACUGCUGCAAAGCUGAAAUAUAAAGGCAUUAUUUGGCAAUAUGUACCUUUUUCUAUGUAAAUGCCUUUAUACAAAACCACCAUACUCUGCUCAAGGUUCUCUACCUGACAUGAGAGAAGUUUAAGAAGGUAUAAAGGAAAUACCAAAUGGGACUCAGGCGCUGGACUAGGAUCUGGAAGACAAUCAAUGCUAGUCUUGAUCUUGAUCCUGAACCUCCAUGGUUACUCUUGAGGCAAGUUGUUGAACCUCUCAGGGCCUCAGGUUCUUUCUGG